GGGCCCGUAGCUCAGAAUGGAUAGAGCGUCGGCCUGCGGAGCCGGAGGCCGUGGGUUCAAGUCCCACCGGGCCCG
rnacentral:tRNA from 1 species